UCAGCAGAGCAGAGGAAACCAGAGUGACGAGCGUUGCAACAGCUUGAGCCGCCGAUUUGCUGCCGCAAGAGAGCAAACCAAGACGGAUCUGAAUCACAUUAACCAUAGAGAGCAUCAAGAAGAGACAGCCCAUUACAGAUCCGACAGCAGAAGCCAUCAUUCCCCAUCUCAAAACCUUGAUAUUGAUGUGAGCUCUGAAAAUCUCGUUGACGUCUUUGCUAUUAAGAAGGUUUAAGGCAAGCUUAAGACCCUGAGCUACAAGAGAGGAGAAGAGGAAGAAGCUGAAGGAGACGACUUCGAAGACCAGUAGCUUCUUGGCGACGUCAGCACUUGCGUCGCAGCUGGAUCGUUGUUCGAGGCUGUGUUGUCCUGGAGUCGCUAAGGAAAGACCAACGAAGACGGCGAUGGUGAAGAGAGAGUUCACGUUCACGAGUCCGUCGAGAGCGCUUACGUGGACACUUGUGGUGGCGAGGGAGGAUGUUGAAGACGCCUCUGGUGACGUCAUUCUCACGCCGUUCUCAGCGCCGGUCAUGUAGUUAACCUUCGGCUCAGAUCUGCUCGGAAAGGGAAAAAAAGAAACGCAAUGGUUAAAAAAAAGAUAGAUUGAUUUUAGGGAAGAGAGAGGGUUUGCUUACUCAUACAUGAGGGAAUCUAUUUAAGCAAUGAGUUUAGCUUUCCGUCGGGGCUUAGCUUGAAGAAAGAGAUGGAUUGUCUUAAAGAGAGAGCUUGUCGGAAACACUCUCUCUCUCCCUAUCUUU